rnacentral:rRNA from 1 species
UGGGGGAUUUUGGACAAUGGGGGAAACCCUGAUCCAGCCAUCCCGCGUGUGCGAUGAAGGCCUUCGGGUUGUAAAGCACUUUUGGCAGGAAAGAAACGUCGCGGGUUAAUACCCCGCGAAACUGACGGUACCUGCAGAAUAAGCACCGGCUAACUACGUGCCAGCAGCCGCGGUAAUACGUAGGGUGCAAGCGUUAAUCGGAAUUACUGGGCGUAAAGCGUGCGCAGGCGGUUCGGAAAGAAGGAUGUGAAAUCCCAGAGCUUAACUUUGGAACUGCAUUUUUAACUACCGGGCUAGAGUGUGUCAGAGGGAGGUGGAAUUCCGCGUGUAGCAGUGAAAUGCGUAGAUAUGCGGAGGAACACCGAUGGCGAAGGCAGCCUCCUGGGAUAACACUGACGCUCAUGCACGAAAGCGUGGGGAGCAAACAGGAUUAGAUACCCUGGUAGUCCACGCCCUAAACGAUGUCAACUAGCUGUUGGGGCCUUCGGGCCUUGGUAGCGCAGCUAACGCGUGAAGUUGACCGCCUGGGGAGUACGGUCGGCAAGAUUAAAACUCAAAGGAAUU